GUAAAAGUGAAAACAGUUCAUUACUUUAUUUUAUAAUUGUAUACAUUAUUUCAAAGUUCAAAGUUAAACAAAGCAUUUACAUGUCUGAAUUAAUUGAUUUUAUGGUAGUAGUGGGGGAUUUCAGUGAUUUUAUAGUAUGAGUGGGGACCCCGGGGAACAAAUAAUAUUUAUUUACAUUCAUUCCUAUGGGAAAAUUGGUUUCACUUAACAGUUUUGCUUAGCACUCGAUUUUUCCAGAACCAAUGAAGAGCACUAAGCGGGGCUUGCCUGUAUAACAAAAAAAGAUGCAGGGAUACUCUGGAGGUUGUUCAUUCCUGCCCAGUUUGAAACUGCUGAGAGGGAUUCUCUCAAAGGAAGCAAGGUCACACCAAGAGAUACUCAAAGUACAUAUGCACCAGAACUAAUGCUUUUCUACAUCAAAAUCUAUAAAGCACCACAGUGAAACCUCAGUCCGUGAGUGGAUGGAGUAUGGUACCUCUGCUCUCCCACGUACUGUGACUUGGGAUAAACUGACAUUUAAAUUGUUACGUGGAACAAUCUCAUAUUCGGCUGUAUUGAAGGUCUUUAACUGUAGGCGAAACUGCAUUGAUAUCACAAAACAGCUGUGCAUACAGAGUAACCAAGUAGAAAACAUUACUCUUCCAAAUAAUGGGUAGCUUUCUGUUUCAGAGCUUUCUUCUUUUCUACACCAGAAGAACGUAUAGGAGAAUUGUGAGCAGGAGAGGGAGGAAUGAGGUGAAAAAAAAAAUUGACCUUUAAUUUUACUGGAAAAGAAAACCUUGUGAGGGAUUGCAAAGGAAGUGGUGUUGGGAUGUUAAGAUGAAUCGUUAAUUUGGCUUAUUUUGUGACAAAGUGUGUGAUUUCUGAUAAUCAGCCUGGAGGAUCAAUGUAACACAACAUGCAAAUCUGACAGGUGUCAUCUGUCUGUGCGCUGAGAAAAGUGAGAGAUUUAUAUCUCUCACUUCUGUUA